UGGGGAAUCUUGCGCAAUGGACGAAAGUCUGACGCAGCCACGCCGCGUGAGUGAAGAAGGCCUUCGGGUUGUAAAGCUCUGUCGGAAGGGACGAAAAGGCUUUGGGUUAACAGCCCCAGGUCCUGACGGUACCUUUAAAGGAAGCACCGGCUAACUUCGUGCCAGCAGCCGCGGUAAUACGAGGGGUGCAAGCGUUGCUCGGAAUUAUUGGGCGUAAAGGGCAAGUAGGUGGUCUCGUUUGUCUGGGGUGAAAGCCUUGAGCUUAACUCAAGAAGUGCCUCAGAAACGGCGAGACUCGAGUACUGGAGAGGGUCGUGGAAUUCCCGGUGUAGCGGUGAAAUGCGUAGAGAUCGGGAGGAACACCAGAGGCGAAGGCGGCGACCUGGACAGUCACUGACACUCAACUGCGAAAGCGUGGGGAGCAAACAGG
rnacentral:rRNA from 1 species